rnacentral:rRNA from 1 species
UAGAGUUUGAUCCUGGCUCAGGAUGAACGCUAGCGGCAGGCUAAUACAUGCAGUCGAACGGGGUUUGCCAGCAAUGGCAAGCCUAGUGGCGCACGGGUGCGGAACACGUGUGCAACCUGCCUUUAUCAGGGGGAUAGCCUUUCGAAAGGAAGAUUAAUACCCCAUAAUAUUUAGAAUGGCAUCAUUUUAAAUUGAAAACUCCGGUGGAUAGAGAUGGGCACGCGCAAGAUUAGAUAGUUGGUGAGGUAACGGCUCACCAAGUCUGCGAUCUUUAGGGGGCCUGAGAGGGUGAUCCCCCACACUGGUACUGAGACACGGACCAGACUCCUACGGGAGGCAGCAGUGAGGAAUAUUGGACAAUGGGUGCGAGCCUGAUCCAGCCAUCCCGCGUGAAGGAUGACGGCCCUAUGGGUUGUAAACUUCUUUUGUACAGGGAUAAACCUAGAUACGUGUAUCUAGCUGAAGGUACUGUACGAAUAAGCACCGGCUAACUCCGUGCCAGCAGCCGCGGUAAUACGGAGGGUGCAAGCGUUAUCCGGAUUUAUUGGGUUUAAAGGGUCCGUAGGCGGAUCUGUAAGUCAGUGGUGAAAUCUCACAGCUUAACUGUGAAACUGCCAUUGAUACUGCAGGUCUUGAGUGUUGUUGAAGUAGCUGGAAUAAGUAGUGUAGCGGUGAAAUGCAUAGAUAUUACUUAGAACACCAAUUGCGAAGGCAGGUUACUAAGCAACAACUGACGCUGAUGGACGAAAGCGU